rnacentral:rRNA from 1 species
GCUCAGGAUGAACGCUGGCGGCGUGCUUAACACAUGCAAGUCGAACGAAGCACUCUAUUUGAUUUUCUUCGGAAAUGAAGAUUUUGUGACUGAGUGGCGGACGGGUGAGUAACGCGUGGGUAACCUGCCUCAUACAGGGGGAUAACAGUUGGAAACGACUGCUAAUACCGCAUAAGCGCACAGGACCGCAUGGUCCGGUGUGAAAAACUCCGGUGGUAUGGGAUGGACCCGCGUCUGAUUAGCCAGUUGGCAGGGUAACGGCCUACCAAAGCGACGAUCAGUAGCCGACCUGAGAGGGUGACCGGCCACAUUGGGACUGAGACACGGCCCAAACUCCUACGGGAGGCAGCAGUA